rnacentral:rRNA from 3 species
GGUUGACCUCGAAUCAGGUAGGAAU